rnacentral:rRNA from 1 species
UACGUAGGGGGCGAGCGUUGUCCGGAUUCAUUGGGCGUAAAGAGCUCGUAGGCGGCUUGGCAAGCCGGGUGUGAAAACUCCAGGCUCAACCUGGAGACGCCACCCGGGACUGCUAUGGCUAGAGUCCGGUAGGGGAUCACGGAAUUCCUGGUGUAGCGGUGAAAUGCGCAGAUAUCAGGAGGAACACCAAUGGCGAAGGCAGCUCGCUGGGACGUGACUGACGCUGAGACGCGAAAGCGUGGGGAGCAAACAGG